AUGUAAGAAUUUUCUUCGUAAUUAAAGAGGGAUUGUUUGUGAUUUUUUUUCCGUUUUAUAUCGAAUUUGAAAUUGAAGAGAAAGUAAUGAAACGGCUACUGUUUCUUUCGUUGUUAUUUGCGACCACGUAUAUUCUUACUGUUCACGGCCAAGGCGGAAAUCCUGGUGCCCCGCCUGGAGGUCCCGGCGCACCAGGUGCUGGUGUCACAGAUGGUGGUGGUGAAUCAUGCUACUGCUGUUGUGAUCCAUCUUCAACUGAACCAUCGUGCUGUUAUCCAGAUUGUUGUUUGUAAGAUAAUAGAUAUGUUACCAAGCCAUGGACAAACAUAGAUGAAUGCAAAAUCAAUGUAUUGGUAUCGACGUUGAAAGCAGAAAAGUUUAUUCUAAUGUAAAAAUAAUAUUUAUUGGAACUCGUGUAAUAAAAGAGGGAUAUUUGUUGAA